rnacentral:rRNA from 1 species
AUUGAACGCUGGCGGCAGGCCUAACACAUGCAAGUCGAACGAGUGGCGGACGGGUGAGUAAUGUCUGGGAAACUGCCUGCUGGCGGGGGAUAACUCCUGGAAACGGUAGCUAAUACCGCAUACCAUCAGAUGUGCCCAGAUGGGCUUAGCUAGUUGGUGGGGUAACGGCUCACCAAGGCGACGAUGCCUAGCUGGUCUGAGAGGAUGACCAGCCACACUGGAACGGAGACACGGGGCAGACUCCUACGGGAGGAAGCAGUGGGGAAGAUGGCACAAUGGGAGCAAGCCUGAUGCAGCCAUGCCGCGUGGAUGAAUAAGGCCUUCGGGUUGUAAAGUACUUUCAGCGGGGAGGCGGUACCCGCAGAAGAAGCACCGGCUAACUCCGUGCCAGCAGCCGCGGUAAUAC